rnacentral:rRNA from 1 species
UCCGCUGUGGGCGCAAGGGAUUUGCGAGGAUCUGCCCCUAGUACGAGAGGACCGGGGUGGACAGACCUCUGGUUUGCCAGUUGUCGUGCCAACGGCAUUGCUGGGUAGCUAUGUCUGGCAAAGAUAACCGCUGAAAGCAUCUAAGUGGGAAACUUGCCUCUAGAUUAGAUCCCUCUUUCCGUAAGGAAGUAAGAUCGCAGGAAGACUACCUGCUUAAUAGGCAGCAUGUGUAAGCACAGUAAUGUGUUGAGCUAAGCUGUACUAAUGAUCGAGGGCUUC